UUUUUAAACUAAAUUGUUAAAAAAAAAUAUUCUGAUUAAGAGAUUAUCGAUAUCCGAUCAACGUAAUUUUGUAUAGGUAUAAAGUACUCAACGAGCUCUACAUAUUGAACGGUUUUAAUUAUUGAAACGGGACCCGUGGUGAGCUAUACGGAUCUAACAGUACGCUCCAAUCCACUAUAUAGACAAGAGAGAAGCCAUCUCUUUUAAGAAAUCAACAAUUGGACUAGAGUCCAAUUUAUGGGAUUUGGGCCCACUUCAAGCUUAUCUUGAUGAUUUAAAUUACUCAAUUUUUAGAGUUGCCAAGUCAAUGAACAUAUGAUAAUUAAAUUGAUUCGAUAUUAGUGGUUGCAUUAUUGAAUUAAAUUUGUCUAAAAAAUAGAUAAUGUAACGACGCGGACAUGCAUUUGCUUAAUUAUUCCCCCGAUUGCAUUGUUAUGUGCUAAUUAAUAUGUGUUUGAUGAGAAAUUGCAUGUGAAAUAGAAAGAUUUAUAUUUAUAUCUGUUGAUUUUAGAAAAAUCUGCUUCAAUUACAACUUUAAAUUGAAAGUUGAAGGUCUUAGAGGCACCAGAAAUCAAAACUGAUUAAAUAUUUGUGAUCAGCAUAAUUUUUAGAGCCUAAUAUGAAGUUUUAUAAAAAUCUGAUUCAGAAUGAAUUAAUUGGAUUUAAUUUAUAUAUAUGUAUAAGAACUUUAGUUGAGCCUUAGACUCAACAAAUAAAAGUCUAAGAGAGAGAGAGAGAGAGAGAGAGAGAGAGAGAGAGAGAGAGAGACUUCCAGAGACUAAGAGAAGAAAGAAGAAAAGAAGUGAAAGAAGAAGAACAAAGGGGGAAUUAAGCCAAAUCUUCAUCAAAUCAACCAUCUAAGGUUGAACUGUUGAGGUGUAUCACUGACCAAGCACUGUAAGUGACGUGAAGAUCAAGCCCAAAUGCACACCGUUAGUUGAGCCACCGAUCAAACCUAUGGAGUUUUGUUUGGUGCCUCCGAGUUGGGGCUAGCUAGGUCUAGGCGACCGUUGUCAAGUUUUUGAUCAUGAUGUUGACAUUUUGAUAUUUGUGUAUGUCUAUAAAUGUUUUUGUACAAGAUGUGAUGUAUGUAUUGUACAGUGGGUAAAUUAAUGUUAUAUGCAUUUGCGUUUGUUCAUAUAGAUGCACAACUCAAUGGGCUAUUUGU